GGAGGGUGCGAGCGUUGUCCGGAAUCAUUGGGCGUAAAGGGCGCGUAGGUGGCCCGGUCAGUCUUUGGUGAAAGCGCGGGGCUCAACCCUGCGUCGGCCAGGGAUACUGCCGCGGCUCGAGCACUGUAGAGGCAGGCGGAAUUCCGGGUGUAGCGGUGGAAUGCGUAGAGAUCCGGAAGAACACCGGUGGCGAAGGCGGCCUGCUGGGCAGUCUGGCUGACACUGAGGCGCGACAGCGUGGGGAGCAAACAGGAUUAGAUACCCUGGUAGUCCACGCCGUAAACGAUGGGCACUAGGCGCUUGGGGGAGCGACCCCCCGAGGGCCGGCGCUAACGCAUUAAGUGCCCCGCCUGGGGAGUACGGCCGCAAGGCUGA
rnacentral:rRNA from 1 species